rnacentral:lncRNA from 1 species
GUGUGCGAUCGUGAGCAGGGAACCAAGAAGAACUCCUCAUCUAACCCUAACUUCACAAUCCAUCAAAUUAAAAGGGAAAUCGGGGUCUAGUUGAAUGCAUGAGAUAAGAAUGGUGAUCACCUAAGCGUUUCUUGUAUCAAAAAGCUAAAGUACGAGAUUAUGACAUAUAGGCACAAAGAAGGAAGAAGGCGCAAGUCACUCAAAGGCACAAUCAUCACAAGAUCGCGGUAAAUCCCUUGCUUGAAUGCGGCGCACCCGAACCGAACACACACACGAAACGUCGACUCUAAGCGCUUCCGGUCCAAGUUGUUUGUUUGAUGGGUUAACUUACCAUUUUGUUUAGUAAAUGUUAUUUUGUAAGUGUCUAGUUUGUUAGUAGAAAGUUUGGAUACUAAACUUUGUGUAGUUUGUACAAAAGGUUCAUGGCGAACCAUAUACGGUCUUAACUUUGAUUAUGUUGGAAAGUGUCGUAGUAUUAAUAGUAAUGGUAUUG